ACAGGGAACAUGCAGAGCAUG
rnacentral:miRNA from 1 species